UAAAGCGUGNGCAGGCGGUUAUACANGACAGGNGUNAAAUCCCCGGGCUUAACCUGGGAAUNGNGUCUGUGACUGUAUANCUAGAGUGUGUCAGAGGGGGGUGGAAUUCCACGUGUAGCAGUGAAAUGCGUAGAUAUGUGGAGGAACACCAAUGGCGAAGGCAGCCCNCUGGGAUAACACUGACGCUCAUGCACGAAAGCGUGGGGAGCAAACAGGAUUAGAUACCCUGGUAGUCCACGCCCUAAACGAUGCUGACUANUUGUUGGGAAUUUACAUUCUCA
rnacentral:rRNA from 1 species